rnacentral:ncRNA from 2 species
CCUUCGGAGUGUCAAACAAACGAGAGUAGCUUCGGCAAAAUCGGACACGAUGAACAAGGAA